rnacentral:lncRNA from 1 species
UUGCCGCCUCCGCCGUUUCUGCUGCUACUCAUCCCCAUCGGGAUCCUCUUCUUCCUUAUGGUCCUCGCCUUUUCUCCUUCGUAUGUCACGGAUUUUGCUUACACAACUCUGUAAUUUGUGGUAAGUAAGAGACCAAGGAGGGAUUGGAAGGUUAGAUUUGUAUAACCGUUGUUAGGUUGUUGAUGAUAGAUGAAAUUAUUGGGGGAAAUAUUAUUAAUGAUGAUUUGGAUCUUUCUUGUGUCACUUUUGAUUAGUGGUUAAUCAGUCAAUUGUAAUUACUGCAAUCUCUGUUCUAUCCUGCUCUCUCAAACUCAUCUCUGCUUUACGUUUUUUUUCCACACAAAUUUUUUCCGUUCAUAAAAAAGAAAAGCGGUAAAAUAAAAUGUGACAGUAAAUGCAAUUUUGAGCACUUUUUUAUUUUAAUUGGAAACUUAGGUUUCACAUUUGAGAAUUUAUUUUUUCAUUUUCAUUCAAAUUUUAUCGCACUCGUUAUUCCCAACCCAUUUCGAGCUUAGUUUAGAUAUCGACCUGAGAAUUCGAACUCGACUUGCUUGGCAUCAUGAGCAAGUUUGAUUUCGGUUCGUUUAUAAUGUUCACAACCAUUCCGAGUUCGAGUUCAAAUUGCAACAAGAAAAUGCGAUUGAAUUGUUGAAUCUCAAC